ACCAUUUUUGCAGGGAAGGGGAUUAAAAUCUGUGUUCACAGGCUGAGAGCAGGUGUCUGUGAUGAGACCCCAUGCUGUGACAUGGAUGCAGCACAUUCUUACAUGAAAAGCCCUGGCUGAUGAAAUGACCACAGGAAGACAACAUGGAACCCUCCCAGCACAAUCAGAAGAAGCUUAAUUAAGCUCUGUGGUUAAUUUUAAAGACUUUUUGUCAGAAGCAUGGCAAGGAACUUCAGUCUGGCUUUCAAAAGUGCUGAACACCCAAAACUCCUACCAAGGCCUCCUGGAAUUACAGGUGGGCUCUCCCUUCUGAGCCAGACUGAAAGCUUCCACAUCUUCCUGCAGAAGUUUCACAUGGGGAGGUUUUGGAGAGCUCUUAGUGGUGCAACUCACUGCAAUGCUAUUUUGAGGUGAGCAAUGCUGAGAGGGAUGCAUGCACAAGUUUUGUGUAGCUCACGGGACAGUGGCACACCACAGAGGCUUGUGAAGCAGGAUAAUAGGGACUAACUACAGUACCACUUGUUACCACUGCUAGAGAAUCCUCUGCUUUCCAUUCUGGAGAUUCCCAUAAUUAAAAUACUUUAAUUUUACAAGGCAUUUGCAGAAUGUUCAUAAUUCUGUUGACAUUUUGUCCAAAUUAUUACAUAUUCCUUGAAGGACCCAGGAUGAAGUUGCUGAAUUUUGUUUUGUAAUUAAGGUUUGAAUUUCGAAAAUGGGGCAGGGGACAAAACUGCACACUUUCUGUUAUGUUUCUUAGGCAGUUUUAACACCUUAGAGAAUUGAUGUAGCUCUUUGAACUUUGGCACAUACAUUAUCCCCAAUCACAGCCAUGGCUUUGGGUUUUCUGCGUAGUUAGUUAUCAAGAGAGAUAUUAAAUGUGAAAUAUAAGAGCACAGCAGUACCCAGUACUAUUUAUCCAAUAGUUUCAUCUAUCUCUGAAAUCCUAAUCACAUACCCUCAUAUAUAACCCUCAGUAUUUGUGCAAAAGCAGAAUUUCUUUAAAAUUACUGAUUUUCCAGCUUACCAUAGCCAUGGCUCACACUGCAUGGGGGGUAAGGAAGGUGGGAAUCAUUCCUUCUGUCUCUUUGGAUGUGCUUACAGCCCUCAUGCAUAAGCAGGCUGAGCAGAUACUUUUCAUAAAGAGAUACGUCUGCAUGGGAUUCAAACCAUGAGGGGAAGCCUUGGAGGAGAUAUGGGCCCUUGAAUGUUUGUUGACCAUGAAAACAAACGGUACCACUGGAACCAUUUAUGUGACUCAGGGUUCAGUUUUACCAGAGAUGAGCUGUUGCUGUCACUCUCAUUUUAAGAUGGAGGUGAGAGAUUUUAAUAGGCAAGAAGGCAGAAACAAAGAGGGACCACAGAGGUGAGCUUGUUAGGUCAGUAGAGGUACUGGUUGGAAGCAGAGUAAAAAAAUCAUCAGAUUCAGCAGGGGAAAAAAAAGCAAAGAAAACCAUCACUGACUUGUCAAGAUCUAAAAACCUUAUGAGAUAAGGCAGAGAAGAGGCAGGCAGUGCAUCAACAGGACUGAGCAUCUGCAUGUUCUAAGGAGAAACAAAGGUUGACACUUCUCUGCUUGAUUGACAGCACUUUGGCCAGCAGAGACUCGCAAGGUGGCUGCCCCAUGGAUACUGAGCAUAUGAAUGCUUAGCCUAAUGAUGUUAGUCCUGGCCCAUUGCUGUGUGUGUUAGCAAUAAAUAAGACUAUUUUUAUAUAUGGACA
rnacentral:lncRNA from 1 species